UUGAAGCUGAUCAUACAUGUAAUUACAUUUUUCAACAUCAUUUAUGAUUUGGUAUUUUAAUAAAUAUGAGUCUGGUCUGAAUUCUAAGUUUAAAUUAGGCAGAGAAAACAAGAGAAGGAAAUGCCAGGCAUUAUUUUACGAUGAAUAAGAGAUAACAUACAGAGGUCCAUGGGUGUUCAAUAGUACUAAGUUCAUGUCAACAGAAGCUUAGAAAAUUGAUCCUCUUUUGACAGGGAAACAAAAGGAUAAAUUAACAUAUGGUAUCAGAGCUGAAAUAGGACAUAAAAUUUCUUUUUGCUCGAACUCGCUACCUUUUUUAGAUGAAAUCUUGAGAGAUCACAUAUGUAGACUUUUAAUAUACAUAAUUUAGUUCAGAAAUUUUGCUCAGUUUGCUUGUCUACAAUGAUUAAAAUAGCUAGAUAAAGUAAAACUAUAGAAAGAGUGAAAUGAUCGGUGGUUGUCAGCAGUUCAGGAGUGAGGGUUAGAUAGAGGAAGCACAGGGGAUUUUCAGGACACUGAAAUUAUCCUGUAUGAUACUGUAAUGGUGGACACAAGACAUCAUGCACUUGUCAAAAUACAUAAAAGCAUACAUCACAAAGAGUGAACCUUAAUGUAUGCUGCUGUGAGCUGAAUGUGUCCUUCCACACUGUCCCCCUACUCCCAAAUUCAUAUGUUGAGACCCAAACCACCAGUGUGACUAUAUUCAGAGAUAGGGUGUUUAGGCGGUAAUUAAAGUCAAAUGAGGUCACAAUGGUGGGGCCAUAAUCUAAUAGGAUUGGUGGCCUUAUAAGAGGAAAAAGAGAGGGAACUCUCUCUCUGUCUCUCUGCCUCUCCCUCCCUCCCUCCAUGUGCACACACUGAGGAGAGGCCAUGUGAGGACACAGUGAGACAGUGACCAUUUGCAAGACAGGAAGAGAGCUGUCACCAGAACCUGAACCCUGCAGGAACCUUGAUCUUGGACUUUCCAGCCUCCCGAACUAUCGAAUCAGCCAUCUCCACGGAAACCAGGAACAGAGAUGAGAUUAUUCCAAAGAGAUGCUGUCAGUUUGGACCAAAGGGAAUAGGAUGGGACAAUAGAGCUAUGUGGCUGUGCUAUUCUUCAAGAAAAAGGAGGACUGACUCCAAAGGAGUACAGAUGAACAAUUCUGAUACUGCUAUACAUGUAUGCUGGAAUAGAACAAUUAGAUGAGUUGGCCUAAAAGAAAGGACAGUCCAGUAGCAACAAGCGCACCCAGUACGAAGAUCUUGGUUUGUAAUACCAUUCUCUGCUAAAAGAAGUCGGAUUCCUCGGAGAAAGGACUGAUCGUAGGACUGCAGCAAGAAAUACCCAAGACGAGCCUGGAGCAUCUUGUGGUGCCAGGAAGUAAGGAAGUGCUCAAAGGAGAGCAACAUUUGGAAUAGCUCAAGCUGCUGAGUUAAUCAUCGAGACGCCAUGGGGAUGUUUUAAGCUGUGGGCCUACCCACCUCGUAUGAUUUGGUGUCAACACAUCCACUGGACUGAGUAAGGCAAGCACUGCAGCUUGUCCGAGGCGGAGGAAUCAGAUUUGCUACCUUCCAAUUUUCCCAUCUCUGUUUAAAGCAUCCACGCCAACGAUGAUGGUCAGGAAGACCAAGAUACCUGGAACGUCAACUAGAAAAAGAAUUAAAGAGAGAAUUUCUACCUUUCCUUUCCAGGUAGCAAUGAUAUUGUAAAAAUUUCUUUGACAUUCUUUAAGAAAAUCUCAAAAGCAUUUUUCUUUUCUCUUAUUUCUAUGAUGAUUUGUCUUAAAUUUCUCCUAUUGUGGCACGGUUGUUUAAUACACUGGAAUUAAAGUAUUAGAACAAAUAA